ACGUGAACCGAUUUGUUAGUGGAACUGUCUGGGAAGUCAGGCCAGAGAGGGUGAAAGCCCCGUACACGAAAGCAAUAGGAAGCAGCAGGAUCCAGAGUACCACGAGACACGAGAAACCUUGUGGGAAGUCGGAGGGACCACCCUCCAAGGCUAAAUACUCCUUAGUGACCGAUAGCGCAUAGUACUGUGAAGGAAAGGUGAAAAGGACCCCGGGAGGGGAGUGAAAAAGAACCUGAAACCCUGUGUUUACAAGCUGUGGAAGCACGUUAAGGUGCGACCGCGUACUUUUUGUAGAACGGUCCGGCGAGUUGCCGGUACUGGCAAGGUUAAGAGCUUAAGGCUCGGAGCCGAAGGGAAACCAAGUCUCAAAUGGGCGUCAAGUCAGUACAGGCAGACCCGAAACCGGGUGACCUAUCCAUGUCCAGGUUGAAGCGGAAGUAAAAUUCCGUGGAGGACCGGAUCCACAUCCGUUGAAAAGGGUGGGAAUGAGGUGUGGAUAGGGGAGAAAUUCCAAUCGAACCCGGAGAUAGCUGGUUCUCCUCGAAAUAGCUUUAGGGCUAGCCUCAUAUUAGUUUAGCGGAGGUAGAGCACUGAAUUCCUAAGGGACCUACAGCUAAGGUCCCAAAGUGUGUGUUAAGUGGAAAAGGAUGUGGGAUUUCAAAGACAACUAGGAUGUUGGCUCAGAAGCAGCCACACAUUCAAAGAGUGCGUAAUAGCUCACUAGUCGAGAGGUCCUGCGCCGAAAAUGUCCGGGGCUGAAACACAACACCGAAGCUUAGGAAUGUAUGUAAGUACAUUGGUAGAGGAGCAUUCUUAGUGCGGAGAAGCGGUACCGAUAAGGAGCCGUGGAGCGUUAAGAAGAGAGAAUGCCGGAAUGAGUAGCGAGAUGGAGGUGGGAAUCCUCCAGGCCGAAUAUCCAAGGUUUCCAGAGUAAAGCUGAUCUGCUCUGGGUAAGUCGGGGCCUAAGGCGAGGCUGAGAGGCGUAGUCGAUGGACAACAGGUUGAAAUUCCUGUACCAUGUAUCAUCAGAACUGUGGGGACACAGAAGGACAACACAUCCCGGGAAUGGGAAUACCGGGGCAAGCGAUCCUAAGGCCGGCGGGAGAAGCAUUGUUAAGGAACUCGGCAAAAUGACCCCGUAACUUCGGGAGAAGGGGUGCCACAGAGAUGUGGCCGCAGAGAAUAGGCUCAAGCAACUGUUUAGCAAAAACACAGGUCUAUGCAAAACCGUAAGGUGAGGUAUAUGGGCUGACGCCUGCCCGGUGCUGGAAGGUUAAGAGGAGAGGUUAGCGCAAGCGAAGCUUUGAAUUUAAGCCCCAGUAAACGGCGGCCGUAACUAUAACGGUCCUAAGGUAGCGAAAUUCCUUGUCGGGUAAGUUCCGACCCGCACGAAAGGCGUAAUGAUUUGAGCGCUGUCUCAACAAUGCACCCGGUGAAAUUGAAAUACCAGUGAAGAUGCUGGUUACCUGCGCCAGGACGGAAAGACCCCAUGGAGCUUUACUCCAGUUUGAUACUGGGAUUCGGUAUUGCAUGUACAGGAUAGGUGGGAGGCUUUGAAACAUGGACGCCAGUCUGUGUGGAGCCAAUGUUGGGAUACCACCCUUGCGAUAUUGGGUUUCUAACCUGCGCCCGUGACCCGGGCGGGGGACAAUGUCAGGCGGGGAGUUUGACUGGGGCGGUCGCCUCCGAAAGGGUAUCGGAGGCGCUCAAAGGUUCCCUCAGGAUGGUUGGAAACCAUCCAAAGAGUGCAAAGGCAUAAGGGAGCUUGACUGCGACACCGACGGGUGGAGCAGGUACGAAAGUAGGACUUAGUGAUCCGGUGGUAUGAAAGUGGGAUUGCCAUCGCUCAACGGAUAAAAGCUACCCUGGGGAUAACAGGCUUAUCACUCCCAAGAGUUCACAUCGACGGAGUGGUUUGGCACCUCGAUGUCGGCUCAUCGCAUCCUGGGGCUGUAGCAGGUCCCAAGGGUUGGGCUGUUCGCCCAUUAAAGCGGUACGCGAGCUGGGUUCAGAACGUCGUGAGACAGUUCGGUCCCUAUCCGGCGCGGGCGUAGGAUAUCUGAGAGGAGCUGUCCUUAGUACGAGAGGACCGGGAUGGACAGACCGCUGGUGUACCUGUUGGCCUACCAAGGCCAUGGCAGGGUAGCCAAGUCUGGACGGGAUAAACGCUGAAGGCAUCUAAGCGUGAAGCCCCCCUCAAGAUGAGAUAUCCCAUCGCGAAAGCGAGUAAGACCCCUUGAAGACGACGAGGUAGAUAGGUUAGAGGUG
rnacentral:rRNA from 1 species